UUGGUAAAAGGGGAGAACGCCUUGCACCGGUGCUGCCCGGGUGGUACCAACCGGGCCCGCCGCGGCAACCCGAAAGCGAGCGACAGCACGCGCGCGUAGGCCAAAAGCGACCUAUUUUGUCUAUUUGCAUCGUUCUAUCAUUUUUGCAGCAGGGGACGGUCGACCUGUCGUGGUCACCAGGGCUCUUAUUUGUGAUUUUGCCAGCCUGAAGCGCGCGUUAUCAAAUAACAAGGCAGGCGGCUGGCAGAAGGGGUGGCCUUCGUGGCCUUCGUGGCCUUCGUGGCCUUCGUGGCCGUAGCAGCCCUAUCGACCCAGCUAGGGCCCCCACUGGCAUCACAACGAAUGUCAAGAGAACCAAUGUUGAGGCAUUCCGAGCAAGACAUGCAGGGGUUGGAGCAAGGAAAGGCACAGCACUAGCCUACUGCUGUUCCGUACUGAAACUUCCGUAUGAAACGGAGUUCCGUAGCUGAUAAAAGUAAAGGUUCACAGUGCCGUGACAUCCCCAAG
rnacentral:lncRNA from 1 species